AUCUUUAUUAAUAAAAAAUUUCUAAUUUUUUAACGGCGUCAGCCAAGAUUUAA
rnacentral:tRNA from 1 species